AACAAAAGAAGAGGCGCAUUACUCAGGUAGAUCAUUUUAGGAACUGGAGCCGUAAAGAGAUGAUUAAUGGGGUGUAAUGCCGAGGUUUGAUUGUCAUUCCAGAAAGCAAUUGAAUCGGCUACAAGGGCUGAAUCCCUUGGGUUGUCACCCUAACAGGUGGAGCGCUUCACGGUAU
rfam:Gilliamella sp. N-G2 NODE_2, whole genome shotgun sequence.